rnacentral:rRNA from 1 species
UUGAAAGGGAAACGAUUGAAGUCAGUCGUGCUGGCGCGAAAUCAACCUUCUCGUCUUGAGAUCACAUGGCGUGGCGAGCCUCAAAACCGUCACGAAGCGUGAACUCUUGGUGAAAUGGAGCACUUUCGUGUCCGCUGGUUAACAUCAAUUUCGAACGUCAUAAAAAGGCUGGAGGGAUGUGGCUCCUUCGGGAGUGUUAUAACCUUUAGCGGAAUGUGGUGUUCGGGAUUGAGGAUUGCAACGAAUACCUUUAGAGCUGUUCCACCUGGCUUCUCUUUGGUAUCCUGGUGACGACAGCUUGCUGACGUCGUUAGGGUUCGCCUUUGAACAGGCUAGAGUGUGAGCAAAUCGUUAAGGAUGUUGACGUA